AUGGUUGAUCUCCCAUGGAUCGUCCUUGGGGAUUUUAACGAGAUACUAAUGGGUAGCGAGAAGGAUGGAGGGGUAGUGAGGUCCCAGAGAUGCAUGCAAAACUUUCAAAAUUCCGUGGAUGAUUGCAACCUAUUUGAUAUGGGUUUUGUUGGAGAUAUCUGCAUAUGGAGAAGGGGAAAGAAUAGACAAAGACUUGAUCAGGCGGUUUAUGAUUAGUGAUGGCACACGCACUUUCCUUUGGCGGGGGUCAUCCAUGGCGAUUUUUCUAAAUCAGAUCAUCGGCCUAUUGUUGUUGAUACCAAAUACCUGGCUGACACAUGGGCGACCCCUCCGGCAAGGAAAAAUUCUUUGAAGCCUGGUGGUUGGUGGAGGACUCUGUAG
rnacentral:rRNA from 1 species